rnacentral:rRNA from 1 species
AGCAGUCGCCACGGUAAUACGAAGGGUGCAAGCGUUACUCGGAAUUACUGGGCGUAAAGCGUGCGUAGGUGGCUUCUUAAGUCGGAUGUGAAAUCCCUGAGCUUAACUUAGGAAUUGCAUUCGAUACUGGGAAGCUAGAGUAUGGGAGAGGAUGGUAGAAUUCCAGGUGUAGCGGUGAAAUGCGUAGAGAUCUGGAGGUAUACCGAUGGCGAAGGCAGCCAUCUGGCCUAAUACUGACGCUGAGGUACGAAAGCAUGGGGAGCAAACAGGAUUAGAGACCCCCGUAGUCCCUGUCUCUUAUAC